rnacentral:lncRNA from 1 species
UUAGAUCAGAUGUUAUAACAUUAAGCAUGUUAAAACAGAAUAUUCAGGAAGUACACAACAUCAUUAUACACAGCAGAAAGCUGAGAUAAUGAACAAAUUCAAGGAACUCAUUAAGAGCCCUAAAUAUUACAUAACAGGCAUCAUGAUGACUGCCACAAAAUACAAAAAAAAAACAGAAAGAACAUCAGCUUUCCAAACAGCAGCCCAACUUCC